CGAGCCUCCGGCUCCUGCUUCGUUUCUGCUGAGCUAGACCCAGCGGGCCUAGAGAGUUGGGCUACGGAAGAACUUGUAUUUUCAUUUAAUCGGGAUUUGAAGAAAGAAUAUACGGGGGCAGCCACGAUCUUUAUAAAGACUCUUCCGUGGACAGAAAGCUCCGGGUAGCCGACUCCACAUCCCGGCCAGCGACAGAGAGCCACCGGCUCCUGCUUCGUUUCUGCUGAGCUAGAUCCAGCGGGCCUAGAGAGUUGGGCUACGGAAGAACUAGUAUUUUCAUUUAAUCGGAUUUGAAGAAAGAAUAUACAGGGGCAGCCACGAUCUUUAUAAAGAACAUAAGUUCCAGGAAAACAGGAACCUUGUCUCUUUGUUCACCUGUAUCCUCCACAUAUAGAACAGUACGUGGCACAUAAUAGGUGCUGAAAUAUAACUUCUACAAAUGCAAGAAUCUUUGUACUGCCCAGUGAUGUAAGCCAAGCAUCUGAGACAGUGCCUGGAACCAAUAGGUGCCCAUAAUGAUUUUAAAAUGAGUGAAUAAGUGAAUGAGUUUUAACAGGAAAAUGUCAUUUUUAGGUAAAAAGUUAUUGUCUUAAUCUUUUUUAUAUUUUAAAGAAAAAAAAUAAUUAACAUCCUCCUGGUCCGAAAUUCAGAUUUGCAGUGAAGAUAUGCCAAGACACAGAAAGAUGAUUUCUUUUCAGGAAAGAUUCUCUAAAUGAAAAUAAUGUGAUUAUUAGGCUCUAUACAUACUAUCAAAAUUCUAAUUUGGCCAGCCCCACCCUGAAUCCAGUCACAACUCUAAUUUAAUCCACUUCCCUCCUCU